rnacentral:lncRNA from 1 species
AUGAGAAACACCUGUGUAGGAGGGCGUGGCUCCAAACAGAGCAGGGAGGCUUUUCCUUCAUUCAGGGAGAAACCAGCGAGGAGGAGUGCGAACGCUGAGAGUCCAACGUGUGGGGCUGGACGCUUGGGCACAGCCGGUGGAGCGCGAGGACUGGGGAGAGCUGGAGACGCACCCCAAACCGACGUUCGGGAGACGCAGAGCGGGUCCGAUUCGAGGCGUUGGCCAGCCGAACACCGGCGGGAGGAAGACGUGAGGAGGGAGGCGCCUCAUCCACAGCCGUGUUCUUUCGUACACCGCCGCUUGGAGACGCAGAGGGGUGAACGGGCUUCACCCCUCCCAAAGAGAGAUGAGGUGGGAUUUGAGGAUGGCGAUUCCAUCCUACGAGACCAGUUUGUCAUGGGAUUAAGAGACAGUUCUCUUCGCCAAGAACUACGGCGCCUGGUGAGGAAGACUCCUGCAUUAUCCUUUGACGAAGUCAAGAUGGAAGCGCUCGCACUGGAGCAGGAACAAGCUGAACUGUGGACACCUUCUUCCUGCUUGGCAGUAGAAAAGCAGGAUAACAGAACAACCAGAGACACUCGAAGGAGGCCAGAGCCUAGAUGGAGGUCAGAUAAUGGAGCUAGAGGUGUUAGGGGUGCCCCAAGGUACGAGUGGGAUCAACAGGGUCGCCCAAUCUGUGCUACCUGUAAAGAACCGGGACAUUAUAGUCGGAGCUGCCACACUAGAGUCCCCCAUCAGGAUUUUUAGUCCCUCCGGCCACUGUGGGUCAGGUGACCGGGCGCCCCUACAGUGACCCACCUAGUUCCCCACCCUCAGCAAGGUUUACAGAAAGUUGCCCCUAUGUCACAGUAAAAGUAGAUGAUAAAGAAUUUCGAUGUCUGUUAGACACUGGGUCACAAGUAACACUGUUUAGUGAAAGCCUGUGUAAAGACCUCUUUGAAGAGAAGCAUUUAGAUGGAGUCUUGCCUUGGCUUAAGCUUCGAGCUGCCAAUGGACUGAGCAUUCCUUAUAAAGGCUACAUUGUAGUUGACUUCCAGGUGGGGGGCGUUAGGGUCCCAAAUUGCGGGGUUGUGGUGGUAGAGGACACCUAUUUGGGUG